CCCCGGGGCUGCCCCGGCCUUGGCCCCGGCCCAGCUGCGAGGGGGAGCAGGAGGAAGGGGAUCUGGGCCCGGAGAGAAGGCAGGGAAAAGAGUGAAGCCAAUCAGAGCCAGUGAGUGGAACAUCUGGAAGGCAGAGGGAGCCAGUGAGUGGAACAUCAAAAGCUGACAUAUUUGGAUCUGGGUGACUUCAGGUUUGGAUGCUGCUUCCAUUUCGCAAAGGUUCAGCCUUGCUUCAGGAUACCACCACUUGGAACUGACACUGGGAAAAGGGGCAGCAUUUUUCUACAGCUUUGCAAACACUGUCCUGCUGCUGCUAAAAUGCAAAUAAGGAACACAAGGAAAUACCUGACUGGGCCAAACUGUCGAGCCUGAUCCCAGAGUUGGAAAGAGCACAGGAAUUCCAAGGAGUUUCAUGCUGGAGGUGAAAGAUCCCAAUACAAAGGGCGCUCUGCUGACAAGAACUGGGAAAUAUGCAAUAGC